rnacentral:rRNA from 1 species
CCUACGGGUGGCAGCAGUGAGGAAUAUUGGUCAAUGGACGCAAGUCUGAACCAGCCAAGCCGCGUGCAGGAAGACGGCUCUAUGAGUUGUAAACUGCUUUUGUACGAGGGUAAACGCAGGUACGCGUACCUGUCUGAAAGUAUCGUACGAAUAAGCAUCGGCUAACUCCGUGCCAGCAGCCGCGGUAAGACGGAGGAUUCAAGCGUUAUCCGGAUUUAUUGGGUUUAAAGGGUGCGUAGGCGGGCGGUUAAGUCAGAGGUGAAAGCCCGAGGCUCAACUUUGGAAUUGCCUUUGACACUGGUCGGCUAGAGAGGAGUUGCGGUAGGCGGAAUGUAUGGUGUAGCGGUGAAAUGCUUAGAUAUCAUACAGAACACCGAUUGCGAAGGCAGCUUACCAAGCUACUUCUGACGCUGAGGCACGAAAGCGUGGGGAUCAAACAGGAUUAGAUACCCCAGUAGUC